rnacentral:lncRNA from 1 species
GGACUUGGAGCGCAGAAGCUACGGAGCGCUUGUCCUGGAAGUUGAGUUUUACCAGGUAGCGGACCUGGUGCGCAGAAACCACGGAGCGUUCGUCCUGGAAGUCGAGUUUCACCAGGAAGCGGACCCGGAGCGCAGGAUCCAGGAGGUAGAGAACCCGGCACUCGAAAUCUGCGGAGCGCGAUUCUCAUCCGCCCGCUCUAUUGCGCGGUUGUUCCCAGACUGAGGAAUUCAACUAGCUGAUUUUAGAUCGA